UCAGAUGGUACACAUGUCACCCUGCAGCCUAAGAGCGGUUACUCACUGAAGCUAAGCAGGGCUGAGCCUGGUCAGUACCUGGAUGGAGACCACAUGGAAAAACUAGGCUGCUGUUGGAA
ensembl:rRNA 5S_rRNA 5S ribosomal RNA